rnacentral:rRNA from 1 species
CCUACGGGGUGCUGCAGUGAGGAAUAUUGGUCAAUGGCCGCAGGGCUGAACCAGCCAAGUCGCGUGAGGGAUGACGGUCCUAUGGAUUGUAAACCUCUUUUGUCAGGGAGCAAAGGGCGCCACGUGUGGCGCUUUGCGAGUACCUGAAGAAAAAGCAUCGGCUAACUCCGUGCCAGCAGCCGCGGUAAUACGGAGGAUGCGAGCGUUAUCCGGAUUUAUUGGGUUUAAAGGGUGCGCAGGCGGAAUGUCAAGUCAGCGGUAAAAUUUCGGGGCUCAACCCCGUCGUGCCGUUGAAACUGGCGUUCUUGAGUGAGCGAGAAGUAUGCGGAAUGCGUGGUGUAGCGGUGAAAUGCAUAGAUAUCACGCAGAACUCCGAUUGCGAAGGCAGCAUACCGGCGCUCAACUGACGCUCAUGCACGAAAGCGUGGGUAUCGAACAGGAUUAGAUACCCCGGUAGUC